rnacentral:rRNA from 1 species
GUGGGGAAUCUUGCGCAAUGGGCGAAAGCCUGACGCAGCCAUGCCGCGUGGAUGAUGAAGGUCUUAGGAUUGUAAAAUCCUUUCACCGGUGAAGAUAAUGACUGUAGCCGGAGAAGAAGCCCCGGCUAACUUCGUGCCAGCAGCCGCGGUAAUACGAAGGGGGCUAGCGUUGCUCGGAUUUACUGGGCGUAAAGGGCGCGUAGGCGGACAUUUAAGUCAGGGGUGAAAUCCCGAGGCUCAACCUCGGAACUGCCUUUGAUACUGGGUGUCUUGAGUAUGAGAGAGGUGUGUGGAACUCCGAGUGUAGAGGUGAAAUUCGUAGAUAUUCGGAAGAACACCAGUGGCGAAGGCGACUCACUGGCUCAUUACUGACGCUGAGGCUCGAAAGCGUGGGGAGCAAACAGGAUUAGAAACCCGUGUAGUC